GACGAACGCUGGCGGCGUGCUUAACACAUGCAAGUCGAACGGAAAGGCCCUGCUUUUGUGGGGUGCUCGAGUGGCGAACGGGUGAGUAACACGUGAGUAACCUGCCCUUGACUUUGGGAUAACUUCAGGAAACUGGGGCUAAUACCGGAUAGGAGCUCCUGCUGCAUGGUGGGGGUUGGAAAGUUUCGGCGGUUGGGGCUGGACUCGCGGCUUAUCAGCUUGUUGGUGGGGUAGUGGCUUACCAAGGCUUUGACGGGUAGCCGGCCUGAGAGGGUGACCGGCGACAUUGGGACUGAGAUACGGCCCAGACUCCUACGGGAGACAGCGGUGGGGAAUAUUGCACAAUGGGCGGAAGCCUGAUGCAGCAACGCCGCGUGCGGGAUGACGGCCUUCGGGUUGUAAACCGCUUUCGCCUGUGACGAAGCGUGAGUGACGGUAAUGGGUGAAGAAGCACCGGCUAACUACGUG
rnacentral:rRNA from 1 species